GUAAGCACUGCUUCAUCUCAUCAUUUUUUUUUCCUGAUUUUUUGCUACUGGGAGACAUCAAAAUAUAAAAUGCUUAAAAUGGCGACUUCGGCAACUGAAGCUAGCGCGACGUCAAGCUGGGUAAGUAUGCUGCUAUAUGCAGAUAGAACCGGAUCAUCCUGUUUGCUAGGUUAAAUCUGUUGUGAUUGAUGGAUGCUGCGUGUUGAGCGGUGCUGGAAAUUCCUAAGCCUGCUUUCCGAAGUUUAAGAUCAAUUUCGUGCCUACAAAAUACAGUAUAAACUUAAAUAUCAGAGCGGACUACCGUUUUGAUUACUUACGCUUAUUGGAUCCAUGAUGUAAAUGUACGCACGCCCAUUUAUUUACACGAAAAUGCUUCGUCCUCAAUUGUGUGCACCAUUCCCUCCCAAU
rnacentral:lncRNA from 1 species